rnacentral:rRNA from 1 species
GACGAACGCUGGCGGCGUGCCUAAUACAUGCAAGUGGGACGCAAGGAAACACACUGUGCUUGCACACCGUGUUUUCUUGAGUCGCGAACGGGUGAGUAACGCGUAGGUAACCUGCCUAUUAGCGGGGGAUAACUAUUGGAAACGAUAGCUAAUACCGCAUAAUAUUAAUUAUUGCAUGAUAAUUGAUUGAAAGAUGCAAGCGCAUCACUAGUAGAUGGACCUGCGUUGUAUUAGCUAGUUGGUAAGGUAAGAGCUUACCAAGGCGACGAUACAUAGCCGACCUGAGAGGGUGAGCGGCCACACUGGGACUGAGACACGGCCCAGACUACUACGGGAGGCAGCAGUAGGGAAUCUUCGGCAAUGGACGAAAGUCUGACCGAGCAACGCCGCGUGAGUGAAGAAGGUUGUCGGAUCGUAAAGCUCUGUUGUAAGUCAAGAACGUGUGUGAGAGUGGAAAGUUCACACAGUGACGGUAGCUUACCAGAAAGGGACGGCUAACUACGUG